UAUCAGGGACCCUGUAGAGAUGGGGUGGA
rnacentral:piRNA from 1 species